AAUCUACAUUCAGAACUGCGCACGGCUCAGUAUAUCAGUUAUUAUUUAUUUGAGGAAAUCUACUACCCUGGNAGAACCGGAAUAAUUCUACACGCUAUAUACGGUGNAUACGUACUCCUCUACCUUGAAGAAGUGUAUUUAUUAGAAUGAAAACCAAUAGACUUUGUCUGCCUUGUGCCUAAUACUAACUUGUCAUAUCGCAUGCUGUGUGUAAGAGAANNGUCUUUUAAGUUUCUGCCCUAUCNGCUUUGUACGGCAGCGUAUUGUAAUACCAUGGCAGGAACCGGAAACCAAGAAUUUGGGUUUCAGAUGUUCGAAAGAUGGGAGCCGGACAGAUGGCUACCACAUCCAAGGAAGGCCGCAGGCGCGUAAAUUACCCAAUCCUGACACAGGGAGGUAGUGCACAAUAAAUCACAAUGCGGGACUUCUGUUUCGCAAUUGGAUUGAGAACAACGCACAACACUUAUCGAUAAACAAUUGGAGGGCAAGUCUGGUGCCAGCAGCCGCGGUAAUUCCAGCUCCAAUAGCGUAUAUUAACGUUGUUGCAGUUAAAAAGCUCACA
rnacentral:rRNA from 1 species